rnacentral:rRNA from 2 species
AUAAAGAAUAAUUAGUGGCAGACGGGUGAGUAAUGCAUAGGAAUCUACCUAGUAGUAUGGGAUAGCCACUAGAAAUGGUGGGUAAUACUGUAUAAUCCCUGCGGGGGAAAGAUUUAUCGCUAUUAGAUGAGCCUAUGUUAGAUUAGCUAGUUGGUAGGGUAAAGGCCUACCAAGGCGAUGAUCUAUAGCUGGUCUGAGAGGAUGAUCAGCCACACUGGAACUGAGAUACGGUCCAGACUCCUACGGGAGGCAGCAGUGGGGAAUAUUGGACAAUGGGCGCAAGCCUGAUCCAGCUAUGCCGCGUGAGUGAGGAAGGCCUUAGGGUUGUAAAACUCUUUCAGUAGGGAAGAUAAUGACGGUACCUACAGAAGAAGUCCCGGCAAACUCCGUGCCAGCAGCCGCGGUAAUACGGAGGGGGCAAGCGUUGUUCGGAAUUAUUGGGCGUAAAGGGCAUGUAGGCGGUUCGGUAAGUUAAAGGUGAAAUGCCAGGGCUUAAC